rnacentral:lncRNA from 1 species
ACCAUAGGCCCUGGUUACAUGGGAGACAUGAACUCUCUUGCCUUCCCCCCAGGGUCCGGGGCCCUGUGUGCAAGUGAGCUACCAAGUGCGGUUCUGGGCUGGAGAGAAGAUGCAGAUGCAGGAAGGGGUGCCCUGCUGUUCGUGGCCCGUCCCUGCCUGGGCACAGUGGGUCAGGGUGUCUGCCGAGGAUGGUGUCCCCUGGGUGCCCUCCACCAACCUCUCCCUGGUCUGCUUGGGUAAGAGGCAGGAACCCUCUCUGCUAGGGAUGGGAGUGGGCAGGGCCUCCUGAAUGGGCAGCCAGGACUCCCCUAGCUGCAGACUCUGCACCCCAGGACGUGGUGGUCAGCAGCAUCGCUGGGACCCUCGGGCUGCUGGUGAGCUGGCAACGGGGGACCCAGGAGCCAUGGGAGUACGUGGUGGCCUGGGUCCCAGACGGAAAAGCCCUGGAGGAUGUCAGCUGGACCCGGCUUCCUCCGAGGAACCUCAGUGCUGAGCUGCUAGGCAAUUUCACAAGAGGGGUCCCCUACCGCAUCACAGUGACAGCAGUCUUUCCUGAGGGCCUGGCCCCUGCUCCUUCAGUCUGGGGGUUUGGAGAGGAGCUAGCACCUGUAGCAGGUCCAGCAGUUUGGCGGCUCCCAGAUGACCCCUUGGGGACCCCUGCAGUGGCCUGGGGAGAGGUCUCAAGGCAGCAGCUCCGGGGCCACCUCUCCUACUACACCUGGUGUGCGCGGAGUGGCUCCAGACCCUCAGUCUGUGUGAACGGUGAGCCUCCUGCCUCCUGCCCCUCCAUCAGCCCCCAAGGCCAGGCCGACCCCACCCCUGGCCCGGGGGCCCUCUGGCUGUCUCUGUGCCCUGGCUGUCCUCC